rnacentral:piRNA from 1 species
UCGGAUGCAUCUGGAAAACACUAAACUCAC